AAUUUUGGACAAUGGGGGGAAACCCUGAUCCAGCCAUCCCGCGUGUAUGAUGAAGGCNNNCGGGUNGUAAAGUACUUUUGGCANAGCNGAAAAGGUACCUCCUAAUACGAGGUACUGCUGACGGUAUCUGCAGAAUAAGCACCGGCUAACUACGUGCCAGCAGCCGCGGUAAUACGUAGGGUGCAAGCGUUAAUCGGAAUUACUGGGCGUAAAGCGUGUGUAGGCGGUUCGGAAAGAAAGAUGUGAAAUCCCAGGGCUCAACCUUGGAACUGCAUUUUUAACUGCCGAGCUAGAGUAUGUCAGAGGGGGGUAGAAUUCCACGUGUAGCAGUGAAAUGCGUAGAUAUGUGGAGGAAUACCGAUGGCGAAGGCAGCCCCCUGGGAUAAUACUGACGCUCAGACACGAAAGCGUGGGGAGCAAACAG
rnacentral:rRNA from 1 species